UGACUUCUGCAUUUCCAGCUGAGGUA
rnacentral:piRNA from 1 species